rnacentral:tmRNA from 1 species
CUGCCAGAAUGGCAAGGUCCGGUUUCGGCCGGACUAGGUGAUCCACACCGGUGUUUCGGACAGCGGUUCGAUUCCGCUCAGCUCCAUUCUCAUUUCCUGGGGCUGCAAUGGUUUCGACGGGGCAUAAGGAGGGUGACUGAAGCCUGCUCGGUAAGAGCAAACCCGUAACAGCGAACAACAUCGUUCGUUUC